rnacentral:tRNA from 1 species
GAUCAGGUGACCGAGUGGUUAAGGCGAUGGACUGCUAACCUAUUGGGGUUUCCCCGCGUGAGUUCGAAUCUCAUCCUGAUCG